UAGACUUUGUGCUCUGUUGCAGGAAAAUAUGCUGAUAAGUCUAUUUUCUUUUAUUCCCCCUUCAAGACAAUACUCCCAUUGAAGCUUGCCAGUCAAGAUCCAAAUCAUACAUGGUUACUCAGAAAACAGAGCGCAAUAUUGCUGAAGGAAAUGGCAGGGGAAGAGGUGGAGGUGGUUAGUGCGGUGGAUGUAAAAACAUCAGGAAGCGCAAAAACCCGCGUCUUAUUCGGAAACCACCCGCAAUCCAAGCACAAAGGACAUCUCUAAGUACCAUUUCCAGUAAGUGUUUGCUAACUCGAAGCUUCGGCGCUAAUAGAUUAAAUUGCCUGAGCUAGCUAUCAGUCACUCACACUGGUUUAUUUCUAGGAUAAAGCCUGAUCUCUCUGUAGAGACGGAUUGGGCUAAAACCUGCUAAGGAGGCUAACAUAAACGUCGACAUAUCAAAAACCUGUGUUUUGCCGGGGUGGUUCCUAGCAGACACACUGUUUCAUCUUCCUUCUUUUCAGCUUUUGUGAACUAUGAGAGGAAUUUGGGUCAGCGAGAAGCCUGCUAUACCUUAAGAUGGAGGUUCCCCCGCCUUCUCUCCACCAGAAGCUUUAAAAUAUAGAUGAUGUAUUACCGCUGCGAGCUCCCAGAGGCUGCCAAGACUAGCGCUAGCAUGGGGGAGGGGAGACGGGGAAAAAACUUGUGCUUUGAAGCUUAGCUCAGUGUAUUCACUGUUCAUCUCAGUAAUAUGUUGCUAAAUGAGACGGUACAAAAAUGAUAACUAAAUGGAGUCAAGCCCUUGGAGUCUGUGAUAUGGAUGUUGUGUGAACCAGCUGCUUUACUGGGACAAAAACAUCAGGGUGGAAUGAAGAUCAGGCUAGAACAUGGGGGGAUUUUAAUUUGCUUAUUAAACUAAAUUUGCCGAGCUUUUCAGCUACUGCUGUAUGCUUGUAAAAUCAUGAUUAGAUGACUGAUAUCAAUGUCUUGCUUGUCUAAUAUGGUUUACUUGGUGGAAGCAACGCAAUAUAAACUAGCUUUUUAUAGGUCAAGUGUGUAAUUUCUGUGCCACAAAAAAAAAAAAGGAUUGUUUUCAAACUGGUUUCUAAGCG
rnacentral:lncRNA from 1 species